CUGGACCAACCUUCCAGAGUCCGGUAGCUGCACAGCCCCAGAUCAUCCGGCCACGGACUGAUCCGGGAGGCCAGAAAGCCGGCAAGACGGAAUUGCCCGUCUUGGACGGUGCCGGCAGCGGACCGUCUGGGCGUCGGUUUGUGUCACUGGCAACCAUCACUCGCACUUAAACCGGGCCCAGGUGCCCAUAGAAGGCAGAAAUGGUGGACACGGAUCGCUCUCAAGGAUGCUCCGCUCCGAGCCCGUCACCUAGGAUCAUCUGGGCUGUUUCUGCUGUCCGGGGACGCCGCCGUGGAAGCGAUUCGGCAGGGCGCUCGCCACCAACCGCUCUCCAAGUUUGUGCUGAAUGGAGGCAAAAGGUUGGCUUUUCGCUUGCGGGGUGGUGGAAGGAAGCAGAACUUUGAUGACACUUCUCGGUCGGCUCUUGGCGUGUCUGUGACUGCCUUCGCUGAGAGGUGCGCUGCGGGUGUCCGGCGAGGAAGAAAGAAGGGUUCGCAGCGCGCGGGGCCUGGGCGUGGAGGUGCGCUUUGCGCUCCGCUCCGCCCCGGGCUGCAGGGCCUGGACGGUUUCUGUUCAGUAGGGUGUGUGUUACGAGCGUGGAUAGGACAGAGAUCCAGACACAAAGACAGACAAGGCAUCAGUUACUGCAGUGGGCUGGAUCUGUGUGAACUCCGAGAGCGAGAUUCGGUAACUGGGUGCAGCUGGUGCGUGUGGCUCGGUGCACAUCGGAGUCUGUGCGUUCGAGGCUUGUGUGCGGAACUGGUUGUCCACGUGUUUCGACUGGGGUUGCCCGCGCUUGUGCCUCGCCCAGCCACAGAGUAACUCCAGUUUGGCCUCCGGUCACAACUGAGACUUCAGUGAUCCAGUAAUGCUGUGAUUCUCCAGGACAAGAAACAUCCUGGGAGAACAAACAUCUGCUCAGUUCCUCAUUGUUCUUGGACUGUUAAUAUCUUGUUUGCCGGAGAUGUACUGAACUCUCUGCAAGCCUUCCAUUACACCUUGUUUAUCCCAAUAUGAACUAUUGAACUCUCUGCAAGUCAUUUGUUACAUUUGUUUCUCCCGAUGUACUGAAUAAAAGGUGUGGUAAGCUGGGG
rnacentral:lncRNA from 1 species